GACGGAGGGUGCUAGCGUUGUUCGGAAUCACUGGGCGUAAAGGGCGCGUAGGCGGCCUUAGGUGUCGGAUGUGAAAUCCCGGGGCUUAACUCCGGAACUGCGUCUGAAACUACACGGCUAGAGCAUUGGAGAGGGUAGUGGAAUUCACGGUGUAGCAGUGAAAUGCGUAGAUAUCGUGAGGAACACCAGAGGCGAAGGCGGCUCACUGGGCCUCAACUGACGCUGAUGCACGAAAGCUAGGGUAGCGAACGGG
rnacentral:rRNA from 1 species